rnacentral:rRNA from 1 species
GUCCACGCCGUAAACGAUGAUCACUCGCUGUUGGCGAUACACAGUCAGCGGCUAAGCAAAAGCAUUAAGUGAUCCACCUGGGGAGUACGGUCGCAAGACUGAAACUCAAAGGAAUUGACGGGGGCCCGCACAAGCGGAGGAACAUGUGGUUUAAUUCGAUGAUACGCGAGGAACCUUACCUGGGCUUAAAUGUAGAGUGCAUGAGGUAGAAAUACUUCUUCCCUUCGGGGCUCUUUACAAGGUGCUGCAUGGUUGUCGU